rnacentral:rRNA from 1 species
UGUGUCCCUUUGGGAUUCUAUCCCGAGGGCCAUGUCCGUCUGAGGGUCGG